CACGUAGGGCGCAAGCGUUGUCCGGAAUUAUUGGGCGUAAAGAGCUCGUAGGCGGUCUGUUACGUCUGCUGUGAAAACCCGGGGCUUAACCCUGGGCUUGCAGUGGAUACGGGCAGACUAGAGGCAGGUAGGGGAGAAUGGAAUUCCCGGUGUAGCGGUGAAAUGCGCAGAUAUCGGGAGGAACACCGGUGGCGAAGGCGGUUCUCUGGGCCGGACCUGACGCUGAGGAGCGAAAGCGUGGGGAGCGAACAGG
rnacentral:rRNA from 1 species